rnacentral:rRNA from 1 species
AAUAUUGUACUGUGGGGGCAACCCUGAUCCAGCCAUGCCGCGCGUUUAAAGCAGGUCUUCGGUUUGUAUUGCACUUUAAGUUGGGAGGCUGGGCUUUAGGCUAAUACCCUUACGAUUUGACGUUCCCAACAGAUUAAAUGCCGGCUCACUCUGUUCCAUCAGCCGCGGUAAUACAAAGGGUUCAAGCGUUAAUCGGAAUUACUGGGCGUAAAGCGCGCGUAGGUGGUUCAGUAAGAUGUGUGGGUAAUCCCCGGGCUGAACCUGGGAACUACUUACAUAAAUGCUGAGCAAGAGUACGGUAGAGGGUAGUGGAAUUUCCUGUGUAGCGGUGAAAUGCGUAGAUAUAGGAAGGAACACUAGUGGCGAAGGCGACUACCUGGACUGAUACUGACACUGAGGUGCGAAAGCGUGGGGAGCAAACA